rnacentral:rRNA from 1 species
CGGCGGACGGGUGAGUAACGCGUGGGCAACCUGCCUUACACAGGGGGAUAACAGUUAGAAAUGACUGCUAAUACCGCAUAAGACCACAGGACUGCAUGGUCCGGUGGUAAAAACUCCGGUGGUGUAAGAUGGGCCCGCGUCUGAUUAGGUAGUUGGCGGGGUAACGGCCCACCAAGCCGACGAUCAGUAGCCGACCUGAGAGGGUGACCGGCCACAUUGGGACUGAGACACGGCCCAGACUCCUACGGAAGGCAGCAG